AACGAGGCCGACCUGCGGCUGAGUUACCUGCGGAGGGAUCAUUACCAAAAAUUAUAAAAACCGCAAGGUUUUUUUUAUAUUUAAACCCGAUUGUGAACCAAAGACUUGUUAUAGCUUCGGUAGCUGGUAAAAAACCAAAUCUUUUGGUUUUUUUUUCCGUCAGUCUACCGGUAGCAAUCAAAUUUGAACUUUGAACCAGAAUGUAUUGUUGCACUAGUCUGAACAUUAAAGAACCGCAAG
rnacentral:misc_RNA from 1 species